rnacentral:rRNA from 1 species
UGUAGUCAUAUGCUUGUCUCAAAGACUAAGCCAUGCAUGUCUAAGUAUAAACACCUUUAUACUGCGAAACUGCGAACGGCUCAUUAUAUCAGUUAUAAUCUACUUGAUCGUAUCCUCUUACUUGGAUAACCGUAGUAAUUCUAGAGCUAAUACAUGCAAAAGUUCCCGACUGGUGACGGAAGGGAAGUAUUUAUUAGGUCCAAAAUCAAUGCUGGCCAUUCCAAACUGGGGCAACCUGGGGUCAGGAAAGUUGAUGAUUCAUAAUAACUAAACGAAGCGCAGGGCUUGUCUCGGCGCUGAUACAAACGAGUUUCUGCCCUAUCAACUUUCGAUGGUAGUAUAGGGGACUACCAUGGUCGCAACGGGUAACGGGGA